AUUUUUUUGUAGUUCAUAAACAUGAUGAUUGGGCUUUCACAUUUGUUUUAAGAUGUGCCUUCCUCAAACCUUAUUAUGUUGUCAGCACAUUACCUGUCUGAUG